rnacentral:lncRNA from 1 species
AUAAAAUGGAAAAUCCAUAAAGUCCUUCAAACUACCAAAUAAAUGGCCAAAAAAAUUAUGGAAGGUUGAAAAUAAAAUAAGAAACAUAUAAUAAAAUUUUCAGAAAAGUAUUUCUUAACCAAUUAAAACAAAGGAGAAAAGAGAAAAUUCAUGAAAAAUAGAAAAUCAGUGAAAUAAAAUGUGGAAAAAUAAAAAUUAGAUGAAGAAAAAUAAAAGAUAAACUUCAAAA